UACGUAGGGCGCAAGCGUUAGUCCGGAAUUAUUGGGCGUAAAGAGCUCGUAGGCGGUUUGUCGCGUCUGCCGUGAAAGUCCGGGGCUCGAACUCCGGUCCUGCGGUGGGUACGGGCAGACUAGAGUGAUGUAGGGGAGACUGGAAUUCCUGGUGUAGCGGUGAAAUGCGCAGAUAUCAGGAGGAACACCGAUGGCGAAGGCAGGUCUCUGGGCAUUAACUGACGCUGGAGGAGCGAAAGCAUGGGGAGCGAACAGG
rnacentral:rRNA from 1 species